CAUGCAGUCGAGCGGUAACAGGAGAAAGCUUGCUUUCUUGCUGACGAGCGGCGGACGGGUGAGUAAUGUAUGGGGAUCUGCCCGAUAGAGGGGGAUAACUACUGGAAACGGUAGCUAAUACCGCAUGACGUCUACGGACCAAAGCAGGGGCUCUUCGGACCUUGCGCUAUCGGAUGAACCCAUAUGGGAUUAGCUAGUAGGUGAGGUAAUGGCUCACCUAGGCGACUAUCUCUAGCUGGUCUGAGAGGAUGAUCA
rnacentral:rRNA from 1 species